rnacentral:rRNA from 1 species
AGCGAACGCUGGCGGCAGGCCUAACACAUGCAAGUCGAACGAAGCCUUCGGGCUUAGUGGCGGACGGGUGAGUAACACGUGGGAACGUACCUUUUGGUUCGGAACAACUCAGGGAAACUUGAGCUAAUACCGGAUGAGCCCUUAGGGGGAAAGAUUUAUCGCCGAAAGAGCGGCCCGCGUUAGAUUAGCUAGUUGGUGAGGUAAAGGCUCACCAAGGCUACGAUCUAUAGCUGGUCUGAGAGGAUGAUCAGCCACACUGGGACUGAGACACGGCCCAGACUCCUACGGGAGGCAGCAGUGGGGAAUCUUGCGCAAUGGGCGAAAGCCUGACGCUGCCAUGCCGCGUGAAUGAUGAAGGUCUUAGGAUUGUAAAAUUCUUUUACCAGGGACGAUAAUGACGGUACCUGGAGAAAAAGCCCCGGCUAACUUCGUGCCAGCCGCCGCGGUAACAC